GCCUUUUCUGAAUCAGUUCAUUCAAAGGUUGUGUAUUUACUAAUUACUCUUAGCCCAGCACACUAAGAAAUAACAGUGCAGUCCAGGAACAAAGUCCACACUAGAGAAGGAUUGUCAUCCUCUUUCACGUGAUUUCAACAAUUAGUUUCAGCCUAUGCAAAUAUUUCUGAAGUAUUUCAGUUAUGAAAAAUAAACAGCAUGCCAUCAUUUGACGGUAAAGGGUGUGCUGGUGAUGGUUUACUUUAUUAAACGCACAAAUAUAAACUACUGGGACAGGAUUAUGACUGAAAUGGAGAGGAGUGACCAUCACCAGCGAUCCUAGACUUGGAACUGGAUGCAGGAAUUAAUGAGACUUUGGGGAGGUUGACAUUACUUGGUGUCAGAAGGGGGAUCUGAAGGAGAUGAACCCCUGAAGAGCUAAUGAUCCCUGGAACCAUGCAUGGUACAUACUUGAUUCUCUUGUGCUUGCCACUUCCUUUUGGUUCGGGCUUAUGGGCAUUCUCCUGUGGCGUUAUUCCAGCUAUCAGAAUAUCAUUUGAAUGACGACACAUCAAAU